rnacentral:rRNA from 1 species
UACGUAGGGUGCGAGCGUUAAUCGGAAUUACUGGGCGUAAAGCGUGCGCAGGCGGUUUUGUAAGCCAGAUGUGAAAUCCCCGGGCUCAACCUGGGAAUGGCAUUUGGGACUGCAAGGCUGGAGUACGGCAGAGGAGACUGGAAUUCCUGGUGUAGCAGUGAAAUGCGUAGAUAUCAGGAGGAAUACCGAUGGCGAAGGCAGGUCUCUGGGCUG